GGGCCGGUAGAUCAAUGGUAGAUCGCCGCCCUUGCAAGGCGGAGGCUCCGGGUUCAAAUCCCGGCCGGUCCA
rnacentral:tRNA from 1 species